AAACCUUGCGUACAUUGAAACAAAAUCCUUUUUCCUUGAUUUAAGUAAAUUUUAUAUUGAACCGAACUAUUUUUCCUUUAAACCAAUGUUCCAAGUUUUAAAAUCAAAGUAUUUAAUUUAAAUUUAAAGAAUUUAUUUUUUGACGCAGAAUCAAUGUAAAAAUUCAUUGAUUUAGAUGAAUGUUUUUUUGAAUCAAAGUAUUUUUUCGUCAAAUAGUCGACACAUCUUCAUUAGCUUCUGUUUGGUGAACGGGUCGGGGAAAAGCUUUUCCGAUAACCAGUCAGACUUAUUUAUACCAGCGGAAUCUUCCUGCCGUGCAACCCCAGACAGCAUCGGAUUCAAGAGCGGAAAAUUCCGACAGCUACGAGAGGGCAAACGAUAGUGGACUCCAAGGGCAACCAUUCGUCCAACCAAUUUGAAAAGGUAACUGUGCUGACUGUUCCAGUCCUCCGGCUAUAAGCGGUUGCAAUCGGUUCCGAUCCGGUCCAGGGAGACACAACGGCUGACGCCAAAACCCUUUUGUUCGAAAGCAACUGUCUAGCAACGAAUAUCGUUCAAUGAACCGGUUUAAAAAUUCAAUAUAAGGGAAAAUCGAUUAUGUGAAGUGGUGAACGAUAGAACAUCUACUUACAGAGAAAAAAAACUUACAGAGAAAUAAAAUGUUUCCAAC